UUACUUAGCUAAAUGGGUCAAUAAGAGAUCAAGAAGUCUCAUGGCCUAGAUCAAUGGCCUACAUUGCACGUUGUAGGAGCACUGGUUUACCAUCUGCCUACCGGUAGAGUGGACGUUUAUUGUAGAGAGGUUAUGUGUUUGGCGUGGCCCCUAC